AGUGAACGCUGGCGGUAGGCCUAACACAUGCAAGUCGAACGGCAGCACAGUAAGAGCUUGCUCUUACGGGUGGCGAGUGGCGGACGGGUGAGGAAUACAUCGGAAUCUACUUUUUCGUGGGGGAUAACGUAGGGAAACUUACGCUAAUACCGCAUACGACCUACGGGUGAAAGCAGGGGAUCUUCGGACCUUGUGCGAUUGAAUGAGCCGAUGUCGGAUUAGCUAGUUGGCGGGGUAAAGGCCCACCAAGGCGACGAUCCGUAGCUGGUCUGAGAGGAUGAUCAGCCACACUGGAACUGAGACACGGUCCAGACUCCUACGGGAGGCAGCAGUGGGGAAUAUUGGACAAUGGGCGCAAGCCUGAUCCAGCCAUACCGCGUGGGUGAAGGAGGCCUUCGGGUUGUAAAGCCCUUUUGUUGGGAAAGAAAAGCAGCAGGUUAAUACCCCGCUGUUCUGACGGUACCCAAAGAAUAAGCACCGGCUAACUUCGUG
rnacentral:rRNA from 1 species